GAUGAACGCUGGCGGCGUGCCUAAUACAUGCAAGUCGAGCGAACGGACGAGAAGCUUGCUUCUCUGAUGUUAGCGGCGGACGGGUGAGUAACACGUGGAUAACCUACCUAUAAGACUGGGAUAACUUCGGGAAACCGGAGCUAAUACCGGAUAAUAUUUUGAACCGCAUGGUUAAAAAGUGAAAGACGGUCUUACUGUCACUUAUAGAUGGAUCCGCGCUGCAUUAGCUAGUUGGUAAGGUAACGGCUUACAAAGGCAACGAUGCAUAGCCGACCUGAGAGGGUGAUCGGCCACACUGGAACUGAGACACGGUCCAGACUCCUAAGGGAGGCAGCAGUAGGGAAUCUUCCGCAAUGGGCGAAAGCCUGACGGAGCAACGCCGCGUGAGUGAUGAAGGUCUUCGGAUCGUAAAACUCUGUUAUUAGGGAAGAACAUAUGUGUAAGUAACUGUGCACAUCUUGACGGUACCUAAUCAGAAAGCCACGGCUAACUACGUG
rnacentral:rRNA from 1 species